ACAUUGGACUCUGAAUCCAGUAACCCGAGUUCAAAUCUCGGUGGAACCUCUUUUUGUUCUUAUUUUAUUUUCCCUUCAAUUUUUUUCAUAGAGGAGCCAGGCCCAGGGUUGUAUCUGCUUCGGCUUGUGAUAGAGUAGAAUGCUAUGCUCUACCACUCUACCUCGCAGUGUAAAGGAAUAUCCCCACACGAUGUAUGAAACCAAAAAUCCUAAACCCCUUCGAAAUAGCGUCUGGCGAUCAGGCUCACAGAGAAACGAAGGAUUCGAACUCAUGCAUCUUUUUCAGUAUCUACUUCAGUGCAAUGAGCUGGAGUUACAUACUGCCCAUGAUUUUCUUUGAGAAGAAAAUGAUAAAAUAUCUUUUGAAAUGUCAUGUUAGUCCUGCUACCACUAUGAAUAUUUGCCAUUGAUGAUUGACUCAACUUGAAGGAGGAUACUUGAGGAGUACUAGAGUUGUCAAUGGAUCAGUUUUACCCAACUUAAAGACAUGUCAGUCUGGUUCUUAUUUUUAUGUCCUGAUUAUAAUUUGGCCAGGACCUGGUUCUGGCUGUUCCAAGACAAUUAAGACCCAAAUUGAUCAUGUAUAUAAUAUAAGUUUAAUGUAUAUUACGAUAUUACAGCAUUUCCAUGUAGUUAUAUUUAGUAAUUUCUCAUAGUAUUUUUUUUUUUAA